UGAAAGUCCACUCCACUGCACAGUGUGUAAAUGUGAGAUCAGCGAUCAUGGGAGCGCUCUGCACACUGUUGGCACUGCUCCACCUGCUCCACCUUUCUGUCCAGAUUCCUACAAGGAAAGUCCUGCUUCCCAUCCCAGAGAGGAGAGUCGUGUAUUUCCAAGCACCUCCAGGUAACGGUUCAUAACAGCCAACCACAUGCUGCUACUCAGGAGCGCAGGAGGUGUCUGCGUUGACUUUCAAGCACCUGGUGAGACCAUUCUGGGGUCUCAGAAAGACGACAAGCUAUGGCAUUUCAACACUGAAUUGAAAAGAAGAACUUGGUGUCAUGAUAACCGAACUAAAUGAUUUGCCGUUUUUCAUUGUCUUCCACAGAUUCUGCACUGGACUUUCAAAAGGAUGCGGCUAUCACAUGGUUACAUUAGAGCCAUUUUAAACACUUUCCAAAUUAUUUCUGUGCAGCUUCUAUGACUUCUGGCAAAAGAAAUAGCAAUAUGAUGCAAAUAAGCACUGGCUAACCGAUUUCCGGAUUGUAAUGCAAAUGUAUUUCUAAGAUCUCUACAAAUAUAUAGAGCAAUAAUAAGGCAUAUGCAUUACCAAAUGUCCUUAGCAUUUCAGAAUGUCCUGGAUGUCCAUGAAGGAAGCUGCUCUUAAAGCAAUUUUUCUUAACAUGUUUUUAUCUUGUGGACAUAUGCAAUGGUUGUAGACUCUAUUUGUAGUAUUUAUAGAGGGCUGGUGCUCUAAGGCUUGAAUUCUACACAUGAUUUGGGAUCUGAAAGGAAAGGUAAAUUUUUUAAACGCUUCUGAAGACAUGACAUAAACAAGAAAGACUUGUAUGCUUUUCAAAAAAUUAUUUUUGUUAGAUUUGAAAAACCAUGACAGGCGGGUAGCAAGUCCCAGUUCAAAGGCUAACAGUUAUUUAUAGCUUAAAAGAAUACAUGAAGAAUUAACAAACAUGUUCCCUCAACCAGUUUCUUCUGGCAAUAAUGAGCAGUGCAUAAGUAAACUGUGUGGGCGCAUAGGGAGUUCAUAGCCCCGUUUCAUUAUUGGAGCCAUAGCUCCUGCUGAUCACAGCGCAUCGCUGCCUCUUCCAACACCGCAGCCUUCUACUGCACGCGUUGACUUUGUGGAAAUCUGACUCCAUAGGCUUUAUUGGUACUCAUUACUCACAUGUAAUUAUCACUGAGAGGAGGACUGGGUUUUGAAAGUAGUUGGGUUCUGCUGAGUGAGAGUCCAGGCUGCAAAGGGUUGGAGUGAAACCUGUUUCACCUCCUGAACAUAAUUGACUGUCAGUCUCUAGCCACAAAAUGAAAACUUUAUUCUCUCACCACGAUUUUAACCUCUGUCUACAAUUUUCUCUUACUUGCUCUGUUUGUGUGUCACGCUUUACAUAUAUGACCUUAUUAUCUUUUUGCCAAACUCAGGAUGACUUGCAAGUGCUUUUCCUCUUUUUUCUGGGGGGGUAAGGCUGUUCAAGGGGCAGUAUCUAUGAAAAGGAUUUACAUUUCUGUGUUUUUCUGGAGGCAGACAGGAAAAGAUCAAAGUAGUUCUUCAGGAUUUUUUAACUUCACAGGCAUAAUAUAUGCCACACACGAUAUAUUGCCAAAAUAGACUUCGCCAAGGGAAUGCAUGUCUGUUGUUCUUUGUGGCUUCUUAAACAGUUUUAAAACUUCCUAAUCUUGUGAUAAGAAACUAAUUCUGUUUUUUCCAGUCACAUGGAGUGGGCAAUUCUAAAGUUAGGUACAUGGCAACAUUUGCUCUGAAAUGCCUUAUUAUGCAUCUUAAUGUUAUAACUGGUGACUAGAUGGAAUACGGAUGGCCUUGUUAAAAGACUGCUUUUAAGAAGUAAUUACUGUUUUUUCUCUUCAAGCAACAGGUGGUCUGUCUUUUAUUAAAUUUUGAGGAGGUCCCCUG